UGCAAGUUGACCACUCUAUAUUUUAGGCGGUAAGAAGUCCAAUCGGUGAUUAAUGAACUAUAUUAAAGGUGUCAAGAUCACAUUACAUUCACUAAAAAUGGCAGUUAGAAGGAUUCUGCCUACAUACUGUACCGAGGUCAGCAUGCAGGCUAUAUAAUGAGCUGAAAACAGAGAGCGAGUAUAAGCAACUCAUAAGCAGCCAAGGACCCAAUUUGUAUCAGCAGCAAGAAUGAAGAUAUUCGCUUUCCUCCUGGUGUCAGUGGCUUUAUGCUCACAACAGUUGGUGAAUGGAUCACUUGCGAUAGAUGUGCUGAAGGCAAUUCAGAUGAGCCAAAACAACAAAGAAGCCCUAACACAGGCAUUGGUAUUGCAAGCUUUAAAAGAUUCGUCCAAUGCAGUGAAAGAAUCAAGAAUUACCUAUGAAGACAGAGGUAGAGCCCGCAUUAGUCAAGCAGCGUCUUUCCUAACUAUCCAAGACUGUGAUACUGCUGGAAAUAUUGUAAAUUCCAUAUUGCAGCCGGCACUAGGCUGGAUUCCAGGCAUUGCAAAUACUGUAAAUGUUUUGGUCAACUGUGGAAUAUCGUCAGGCUGUACACAAGUGAGAGUCCAAGUACCAGCAGGAAAUACCGUGGCUGAUAUUGAUGUUUGCACCGUUAGCGGUGGUGGUUUUUGUGUGGAGGUAUAUGGAGGUUCAGGUUCACCGUGUUCAGGUGGAAUCCCAUUCCCCAUUCCCAUCCCCAUAGCUUCAACUGGAACAACUGCUCCAAUCACACUGACGCUUAACAUACUAGCCAAUUGUGCGAUGAUUAACGUGGGAAAUAUCCAAACGUGUUCAAACAACUAAAGAAGUAAAGAACAUGCGUAUACUGCUGUAGAAUAUAUAUAGCUGUAUUAAGUGACUGGGAAAUAUAGUGUAUAUACCGAAUACAACUAUAGCUGGAGUAUAGAAUCUGUUUUGUAGUAUAUUGAAUUCUUA